rnacentral:rRNA from 1 species
GAUGAACGCUGGCGGCGUGCUUAACACAUGCAAGUCGAACGGAAAGACCCUGCGUUUGUGCGGUUCUCGAUUGCCGAACGCGUGAGUAACACGUGAGUAACCUGCCCUUGACUUUCGGAUAACUUCACGAAACUGGGGCUAAUACAGGAUAGGAGCUCCUGCUCCAUGGUGGGCGUUGGAAAGUUUCGGCGGUUGGGGAUGGACUAGCGGCUUAUGCGCUUGUUGGUGGGGUAGUGGAUUACCAAGUGUGUGACGGGUACGCCGCCUGAGAGGGUGACCGGGCACCUGAGGACUGCGAUACGCACCAGUCGCCUACGUGCGGCAGCAGGCGGGAAUCUUGCACAGUGAGCCCAAGUCUGAGGCAGCAACGUCGCGUUCGUAAUGCCGUCUUUCGGGGUGAGAACAGCUGUCGCCUGUGACGAAGCGGGAGUGACGGUAAUGAAUAAAGAAGCACCGGCUAACUACGUG